rnacentral:lncRNA from 1 species
UUGAGUUCCUCAGCAAGGGGAAGAAGAUUUUCACAAGAUUUUAAUACGACAAGUGCGCCAGAAAGGCUAGUCAAGGCAACUUGGGUAAGGAAAUCUUCUGUCCUGCUAGCAAGAUUGUUAUCGCAGUAUUUAUCAGUCAUUUGUAAGUAUUCAGCAGCACAACGAAGAGCAGCUACAUUAUGAACUGUGAUUUCAAAGUUGACUCCAUAGCAAAACUUGGCUGAUUUUUCAAACAUCUCAGGACCUCCUGGUAUCUCAGACAAGUUUAUCCUCGUUACUUCUGUUUCUUUAGACUCUAGUAUAAGUCUUUUUCAAACAUCUCAGGACCUCCAGGUAUCUCAGACAAGUUUAUCCUCGUUACUUCUGUUUCUUUAGACUCUAGUAUAAGUUUCCUUAUGUAGUUGCUCUUCGCCACAAGCAUGAACUGCUAUAUCAGAACAACAACAAAUUAAUGACAACUAUAAUCCAUGAUACGUUUCCAACUCAAACGAAUGAUAACAAGCUCAUAAGUAAC